rnacentral:rRNA from 1 species
UACGGAGGGAGCUAGCGUUGUUCGGAUAUACUGGGCGUAAAGCGCACGUAGGCGGCGCAGCAAGUCAGGGGUGAAAUCCCGGAGCUCAACUCCGGAACUGCCCUUGAAACUGCAGUGCUAGAAUCCUGGAGAGGCGAGUGGAAUUCCGAGUGUAGAGGUGAAAUUCGUAGAUAUUCGGAAAGAACACCAGUGGCGAAGGCGACUCGCUGGACAGGUAUUGACGCUGAGGUGGCGAAAGCGUGGGGAGCAAACAGG